GCAAUAGAGGCGCGGUACUCAUCAGUACGCGGGGCAACGUUUCAGGGAACGCCGCCGAAAGGGUUUACCGCCGAAGUCGUUUUUCUUCCUUGAAAGACCUGCGGCUGGAUGCGGAGUUAAGAGUUCCGUAUCUGUCAUCGUACGAUGGAGCGCUAUUUG
rnacentral:ncRNA from 1 species